UUUUAUGGAGAGUUUGAUCCUGGCUCAGGAUGAACGCUGGCGGCGUGCCUAAUACAUGCAAGUCGAGCGAACAGACGAGGAGCUUGCUCCUUUGACGUUAGCGGCGGACGGGUGAGUAACACGUGGGUAACCUACCUAUAAGACUGGGAUAACUUCGGGAAACCGGAGCUAAUACCGGAUAAUAUUUCGAACCGCAUGGUUCGAUAGUGAAAGAUGGCUCUGCUAUCACU
rnacentral:rRNA from 1 species